UACGAGUGCCCCAAGCGUUAUCCGGAAUUAUUGGGCGUAAAGGGUGUGUAGGUGGUUUCUUUAGUCUUCUGUAAAAUUCUUCGGCUCAACCGGGGUCCUGCAGAGGAAACGGAGAGACUUAGAGGAUGCGAGGGGUCAGUGGAACUCAUGGAGUAGGGGUGAAAUCCGUUGAUAUCAUGGGGAACACCAAAAGCGAAGGCAACUGACUGGCGCAUUCCUGACACUGAAACACGAAAGCGUGGGUAGCGAACUGG
rnacentral:rRNA from 1 species